rnacentral:rRNA from 1 species
UACGUAGGGGGCAAGCGUUGUCCGGAAUUAUUGGGCGUAACGAGCUCGUAGGCGGUCUGUCGCGUCUGCUGUGAAAUCCCGAGGCUCAACCUCGGGUCUGCAGUCGAUACGGGCAAACUGGAGUGUUGCAGGGGAGACUGGAAUUCCUGGUGUAGCGGUGAAAUGCGCAGAUAUCAGGAGGAACACCGGUGGCGAAGGCGGGUCUCUGGGCAACAACUGACGCUGAGGAGCGAAAGCGUGGGGAGCGAACAGG